UACGGGGGGGGCAAGCGUUGUUCGGAAUUACUGGGCGUGAAGGGUGCGCAGGCGGCCGCGCAAGUCGAGUGUGAAAGCCCCGGGCUUAACUUGGGAAUUGCGCUCGAAACUACGUGGCUGGAGUGUGGCAGAGGAAGGUGGAAUUCCAGGUGUAGCGGUGAAAUGCGUAGAGAUCUGGAGGAACACCGAUGGCGAAGGCAGCCUUCUGGGCCAACACUGACGCUCAUGCACGAAAGCGUGGGGAGCAAACAGG
rnacentral:rRNA from 1 species